rnacentral:lncRNA from 1 species
GAAGCAGGGUGUCUGCCUCACAUCCAUAAUCCCGCACUUCUAGCUGUGUGAUUCUGUUUAUCCUACAGAGCCUGCAUUUUCUUAUCUUGAAGUGGCGGCAAUAUUAGUAUCUGCAUCACAGGUAUGUUGUGAGCAUCAAAUUGCAUUAAUACAUGUAAAGCACUUCCUUAAGUGGUAAGGCUUCAGUCAAUGCAGCAUUUUAUUUAUUUACUUAUGCACAUAUUUAUUUACUUAUGCAUUCUUUCAUUUCAACAUCCAACAGGCCUAGUUUCUCUUACUUUCUUUCUUAUCAACAUUUUGUUGACUGUUCUGUCUUUACACUUCCACAGGAGACCUAGAAUCAGUGAAAAAGAAGAUUCUACUUGACAAAUAGAAGAUUCUAUUUGAAGACGACUGGAUUGAAUUUAAAGUAAAGAGAAUUCGACAAGGUUACAAUAUUUGCUUCUUUUCAUCCCAGAACUUUCCAGCUGGCCUCCUGGUCUUGCUCCUAACUUUGAUGCAAACGUUGGUCUCACUAAAAAGCAUAAUGCAGGAAGGAGGAUGCCCUGAGAGAGGUGUUCGCUUUCCCAUAAAGGAAAAAUCUGAAGGGAGAGCUUGUGAAGAGCGUAUCAGAAAAGCCUAGGCUGGUGUGUGCGCCGGCAAGGGGCUCCCGGGCCCCCUCCGCGCGGCCCACGCUCUGCUCUGCCCCAGGGGCUGAAGUUUCUCCCUGCGUUUCCGCUUGAACAGCAUCCAGCUGCCUCGCCUUUAAAAUGCCAGGACGGCCGCCGCUCCGCUCAGAGCCCCCUCUCGGCGGCUGGCCGGGUCUCGCCCGCGCCGCCGGGGCGCUGACUCAGCCGCAGCCCGCCCAGCCCGGCCUGGGCAGCGCCCCCCGCGCCACCGACCAGCACGCGCCGCAGCGAGCGCACCGGACUGCCUCGCCAGCUGCUGCCAGUUUGGGUCCCUGCUUUCUAAAGGAAAGGCCACUGCUCUCUCUGGCUUCCAGCUGUGAUGUCUGGUCACCCCCGCCUCCCUCCUGAAGCAGCCGCACCCAGGGUGCAUGCCCACCCAGUGGCCCUUAUGAAGUGGUGAUCACUCUGACCAGCAGGUGAGUGCCCUCUGGGAAGAGACCUCAGUGGGCAUCUGAAAACGAGGUCUCAGCUCUCACGUGCAGGAGGGAAGGGGAAGGAGCCAACU